rnacentral:rRNA from 1 species
AAAACGACUCUCGGCAACGGAUAUCUCGGCUCUCGCAUCGAUGAAGAACGUAGCGAAAUGCGAUACUUGGUGUGAAUUGCAGAAUCCCGUGAACCAUCGAGUCUUUGAACGCAAGUUGCGCCCCAAGCCUACUGGCCGAGGGCACGUCUGCCUGGG